GGUCGGUUGGCCGAGCGGUUAGGCAGCGGUCUGCAAAACCGUGUACAGCAGUUCAAAUCUGCUACCGACCUCAA
rnacentral:tRNA from 4 species